GGAUCGGCUGCAAUUUUACCUAUUUUCUUAUUGUCUUGAGCUCCCUUUUUUAGAACUGUUCGGUAGAUUCAAUGCUCCUUCUUCUUCUGCAAAGUUCAAAGUUGAAGAAGCUAUCUGGGUUCUAGUUAAUUUCGAUAGAUCUUUUCACGGGCAGGAGAUUGUGUUUUGCCUUUCAUGACUUUCAGGAAGAUAAGGAAGAAGAAAGGGGAGAGAGAGAGAAAAGAUUGGUGAUGGGACGCUAAAAGAGAAGAGUGGAUGAAUGAGGACUCUCCAGCGAGAGAGAA
rnacentral:misc_RNA from 1 species